UUUAGAGCCAUAAUGAUAGAUGCAGAUGCUGCCCCAAACUCCAUCCCAUUGUCAGUGGCUAAAAAUCAACAUCGGUAAUCCACCGAGGUGGCGGCAUCUGCGUACUCAAGCCAAGCCUCUCCUCCAGCGCCUCUUUCAACAUCGACAAAGUCGACUUGGCCAAUAGAGCAAUGGUCGUGAUCCUGGAAUUCUGACGUCGAUCAACCCACCAUCUACCUCAUCAGAGAGGAUCGAUCUCUCCAAAGCAUCACUUUUGGAGACACGGAGGCUCGGUAGGAAUCUACUAUGCACC
rnacentral:lncRNA from 1 species